GACGAACGCUGGCGGCGUGCUUAACACAUGCAAGUCGAACGAAGAGCGACGGAAGCUUGCUUCUAUCAAUCUUAGUGGCGAACGGGUGAGUAACGCGUAAUCAACCUGCCCUUCAGAGGGGGACAACAGUUGGAAACGACUGCUAAUACCGCAUACGAUCUAACCUCGGCAUCGAGGAUAGAUGAAAGGUGGCCUCUACAUGUAAGCUAUCACUGAAGGAGGGGAUUGCGUCUGAUUAGCUAGUUGGAGGGGUAACGGCCCACCAAGGCGAUGAUCAGUAGCCGGCCUGGAGGAAUGAACGGCCACUUUGGGACGGGAACAGGGCCCAGCCUCCUAGGGGAGGCAGGGGUGGGGAAUUUUCCGCAAUGGACGAAGGUUGAGCGGAAGAACGCCGCGUGGGUAGUGACGGCCUUCGGGUUGUAAAGCUGUGUUAAACGGGACAAAAGGCCUUUUUGGAAAUAGUGAGAAGGAUUGACGGGACCGGAAAAGAAAGCCACGGCUAACUACGU
rnacentral:rRNA from 1 species